GAUGAACGCUGGCGGCGUGCCUAAUACAUGCCAGUCGAGCGAACAGACGAGGAGCUUGCUCCUCUGACGUUAGCGGCGGACGGGUGAGUAACACGUGGAUAACCUACCUAUAAGACUGGGAUAACUUCGGGAAACCGGAGCUAAUACCGGAUAAUAUAUUGAACCGCAUUGUUCAAUAGUGAAAUACGGUUUUGCUGUCACUUAUAGAUGGAUCCGCGCCGCAUUAGCUAGUUGGUAAGGUAACGGCUUACCAAGGCAACGAUGCGUAGCCGACCUGAGAGGGUGAUCGGCCACACUGGAACUGAGACACGGUCCAGACGCCUACGGGAGGCAGCAGUAGGGAAUCUUCCGCAAUGGGCGAAAGCCUGACGGAGCAACGCCGCGUGAGUGAUGAAGGUCUUCGGAUCGUAAAACUCUGUUAUUAGGGAAGAACAAAUGUGUAAGUAACUAUGCACGUCUUGACGGUACCUAAUAAGAAAGCCACGGCUAACUACGUG
rnacentral:rRNA from 1 species